GAGCACGUAGGUGGGUUUGUAAGUCAGAUGUGAAAGCCUUCUGUUCAACGGAAGAAUUGCACCUGGAACUGCGAGUCUUGAGUGUAGAAGGGGAGAAUGGAACUUCUGGUGGAGCGGUGAAAUGCGUAGAUAUCAGAAGGAACGCCGGCGGCGAAAGCGAUUCUCUGGCCUAUUACUGACACUCAGUGUGCGAAAGCUAGGGGAGCAAACGGGAUUAGAUACCCCGGUAGUCCUAGCCGUAAACGAUGGGCACUAAGUAGAGGGGUUUUAA
rnacentral:rRNA from 1 species